GGAGAAAGAAAGUCAUAUAGGUUUUGGAACGGCAUACGGAAAGACAGAAAGAAAAGACGGCGCUUUGACUUUGGCUUUGGUGCGAGAUUUCAGAAUUUUUGAAUUUCAACGUGUCUUCUUUGAAAGGAAGCGCUGAGUCAGCCUCAAGUUGAACCAACGGCAGAGGGAAUAUCAGCCGUACGGCCAGCAUUCAUCAGUAACUCACCUGCCCAGUAUCUUGCUGACGCAGCCAUGGCUGACCCGGAGCUGGCGGGAGAUAUCACAUGGACGUACACCCUGAUGGGCCAACUCCACUAUCCUCUGCCUCACCACAUCAGGCAAGGGCCGCCCGUU